rnacentral:tRNA from 1 species
GCGGUGGUAGCUCAGUUGGUAGAGCGUCUGCUUCCCAAGCAGAAGGUCGCGGGUUCGAACCCCGUUCACCGCU